rnacentral:lncRNA from 7 species
GGCCCAGACAAGAAGGACCAGCACAGGGGGCUCUUGGGGCCCAGGUGGAGUGGCGGCACAGUGGGCAUGGAGAGCAGGACCUGGCACAGUUGGGGCUGCUUUGGUGCCUAGGCUGGAGGGGGGCCUGGCACAGUUGAGGCCUCGUCUGGGCCCAGACAAAAGGGGGCUCAAGCCCAGCCAGGGCCUUGGGGCACAGGAUGGAGAAGGACCAGGAACAGUUGGGGCUGCUUUGGGGCCCAGGCCGGGUCGACGGCCUGGCACGAUUUGGGCUGCUUUGGGGCCCGGUAUCGAAGAGGACCAGGCUCAGAUGGGGCUGCUUUGGGGCCCAGGCUGGAGGAGGACCUAGCGCAGUUGGGGCCUACUCGGGGCUCAGUCCAAAGGGGGCCCAGGCACAGCCAAGGACUUGGGGCACAGGAUGGAGGAGGACCAGGCACAGCUGGGGCUGCUUUGGGGCCCGGGCUGGUGGGAGGCCCGGCACAGCCAGAGCCUUGUGGCUGCACUCCCUCUGUACAGUUCAACCUUGAUCCAUAAUCUGAAAUGGUAACUGUAGUGAAAGGCAGUAGGUGAUCCAGCUGCUUUCCUGUGUUUUAAUUUUUCUAAGUAUGGGGAAGGACUCAAGCUAGUAAACAAAGAGCCCUUUCUGAAGAACAGGACUCAGAAAGUAUUAGCACAGAGCAGAUCUCCCAGUAGAGAUUCUUCCCCUUAGACAGGCAGCCCUGAAAUGAGGGUGGGGAGGGCUGGAGCCAGGCUCCACCCCUUUUUUGCCCAGGUGAAAUGCUUGCAGCUGUGCUCCACAGCAGAACGUGUUUUAAUGAAGCCUGUGCAAUCCAAGAAUCCUUUCUUCCUUCUUUCUCGUUUGUGUUUGUUGCCUGCAGUUCCAAGCAGGUGGACUCUCAGUGUCUUGCAAGUGACAGCUAGCAGCAGCAGGUCCAGCCAGGAGGCACAGCACCCUGCAACCUCCAGGGGCCUUUGUGCACCAGCAGAUGUUGAUGCCCUAGAAGCACGGUGCGGAGCACAUCCUGGGCUCAAGGUGCCACGGACUGGAAAAUGCUGCUGUGGCGGAGUUCCUGUGUGAAGACAAAACUCCCAGUCCCCCAGGAAAGUGGAGGCAGAAGAGCAGUGACAAGGUAUCUACAUGUCUAUCUGUGUAUGUGCACAGCAGGCCCAGCUGCCCCUGCUUCCUCCCUCCACGGGAUCUGCUCCUGCUGCUGCUGCUGCUGGAGUCUCCUCUGGCCACGGUGGCGUGGGGCGAGUUCUUUUGUCAAACAGGAUCUCCCGUUCGUCAACCCAUUGUGACUGGGUCUAUAAUUAAUCCCCUGAUUGACAUUUAAUUAAUCCCGAAAUUAUCCAUCCCAUAACCUACCCUGGCACACAGGUAAGGUGCAGUCCAUCUGGCCCCGUGGACUCUGGCAUCCAGCUUUCGGAGCAGGUCCAAAACCUUCUCAUUGUGGAUUAUGCAUGGCCUAUUCGGGUCCCCAUUCCUAUCUAUCAGCACAGGGGACUGUGUUCCCAGUAAGUAAUGAGUCUUGCUAUGAAAGACUGAGGCAACGAAGGCAUUAAGUACCUCAGCCUUGUCCUGAUCCUUGGUCACCAAGUUGCCCUUGGCAUCCAAGAAGGGAUGGAGAUUCUCCCUAGCCCUCCUCUUGCUAUUGAUGUAUUUACAGAAAUAUUUAUUGUUGUCCUUUACCUUGGUGGCCAAGCUCAGUUCUCGCUGGGCUUUGGCUUUUCUAGUUUUCUCCCUGCACAUAUUUGCUACGUACCUGUAAUCAUCAUAAGAAGCUUGCCCACUCUUCCACAGACCAUACUCUGUGGAAUCAGCUCCUGCACCUUUAAAAUUACUUCCUGAAAGUAUUGCCAGCCUUCCUGGGCUCCCACGCCCUCCAAAAGUACUUCCCAAGGGACCCUCUCAACCAUGGUCCUCAAGAGGUUCAAGUUUGCUCUCUGGAAGUCCAAGGUGUCAGUUCUGCUGACUCCCCUCCGUGGUUCAACAAGAUUGAGAAUCUAGCAUCUCACGAUCCCUUUGCCCCAGGCGGCCUCCAGCCUUGACAUCCCCCACAAGACCUUCUCUGUUAACAAACAGCAGGAUUUUGCUUCCCCUUGCUGGCUGCCUCACCAGCUGUGUCAGGAAGUGAUCUCCCACACACUCGAGGAACCUCUGGGACUGUUCCCUAUCUGCUGUAUUAUAAAUCCAGCAGAUGUCUGGGACUUUGCAAUAGCCCACAAGAACAAGGGGAGAGACCUUGAGACCUCAUGCGGCGUCUCUAAAGUGUCUUGCCCACCUCUUCAUCCUGGUUGGGUGGCCUGUAGCACACUCCCACGAUAAGGUCAGUCUUACUGGCCUUUGCUUUUAUUCUGACCUAGAAGCUUUCAACCCUAUCAUCGCCAUCCUUCAUCUCCAUACGUUCCCAUUCUUUCUUAACGUAGAGGGCUGCACCACUGCCUUUCCUGCCUUGCCUCUCUCUUUUGAAAAGUCGCUAGCCAUCCAUCACAGCACUCCAGCUGUGUGAGUCAUUCCACCCGUUUCUGUGAUUUCCAAGUGAUUUUUCUCCGUUUUUUGAUUCCAACAAAAGCCACUUAGGAUUAUUUUGUUGUUAUUCUUUUUUUAAUGGCAGGCAUUGUGUUCUAACUUAAAAAAUGAACGCACGAAGAAUAGCUUUGUUUGCAUUCUGGUACUGCUGAGGCUUUGGCUGACGACAGCUUUCAGCUGCACCUGAACUAGGCUGGAUUUGUCUCCUGCUCUCCAUAGGGUGGAGUAUUUCUCUCUUGGCAGGACCAUUUGAAUUCAGCUUUGUGUAACAACCAGGCUAAG